AGUGAACGCUGGCGGCGUGCCUAAUACAUGCAAGUCGAACGGAGUGGCGCACGGGUGAGUCAUAUAUAGCUAAUCUGCCCCUUGCUGGAGGACAACAGUUAGAAAUCACUGCUCAUACUCCAUAGAAAGGGAUGAGACUAUAUCGUAUCAGCUAGUCGGGGGGGUAACGGCCUACCGAGGCUAUGACGCGUAACUGGUCUGAGAGGAUGAUCAGCCAAAUUGUAAGUGAGACACGGUCCAAACUCCUACGGGAGGCAGCAGUAGGGAAUAUCGCGCAAUGGGCGAAACCCUGACGGAGCAACGCCGCGUGGAGGAUGACACUUUUCGGAGCGUAAACUCCUUUUGUUAGGGAAGCGGUACCUAACGAAUAAGCACCGGCUAACUCCGUGCCAGCAGCCGCGGUAAUUC
rnacentral:rRNA from 1 species